UACAGAGGUCCCAAGCGUUGUUCGGAUUCACUGGGCGUAAAGGGUGCGUAGGUGGCAGGGUAAGUUUGAUGUGAAAUCUCCGAGCUCAACUCGGAAACUGCAUUGAAUACUAUCCUGCUUGAGGAUUGGAGGGGAGACUGGAAUUCGUCGGUGUAGCAGUGAAAUGCGUAGAUAUCGAGAGGAACACCAGUGGCGAAGGCGAGUCUCUAGACAAUUCCUGACACUGAGGCACGAAAGCUAGGGGAGCAAACAGG
rnacentral:rRNA from 1 species